UCCGGUUUGUCACCGGCAGUCUCAUUAGAGUGCCCAACUGAAUGUAGCAACUAAAGACAAGGGUUGCGCUCGUUGCGGGACUUAACCCAACAUCUCACGACACGAGCUGACGACAACCAUGCACCACCUGUCACCGCUGUCCCCGAAGGGAAAGGCACAUCUCUGUGCCGGUCAGCGGGAUGUCAAGCCCUGGUAAGGUUCUUCGCGUUGCUUCGAAUUAAACCACAUGCUCCACCGCUUGUGCGGGCCCCCGUCAAUUCCUUUGAGUUUCAGCCUUGCGGCCGUACUCCCCAGGCGGAGUGCUUAAUGGGUUACCUUCGGCACUGAGGACAUGAAUAGUCCCCAACACCUAGCACUCAUCGUUUACGGCGUGGACUAC
rnacentral:misc_RNA from 1 species